rnacentral:rRNA from 1 species
AGUGAACGCUGGCGGCAGGCCUAACACAUGCAAGUCGAACGGCAGCACAGUAAGAGCUUGCUCUUACGGGUGGCGAGUGGCGGAUGGGUGAGGAAUACAUCGGAAUCUACUAUUUCGUGGGGGAUAACGUAGAGAAACUUAUGCUAAUACCGCAUACGACCUACGGGCGAAAGCAGGGGAUCUUCGGACCUUGCGCGAUUCAAUGAGCCGAUGUCGGAUUAGCUAGUUGGCGUGGUAAAGGCCCACCAAGGCGACGAUCCGUAGCUGGUCUGAGGGGAUGAUCAGCCACACUGGAACUUGGACACGGUCCAGACUCCUACGGGAGGCAGCAGUGGGGAAUAUUGGACAAUGGGCGCAAGCCUGAUCCAGCCAGACCGCGUGGGGGAAGAAGGCCUUCGGGUUGUAAAACCCUUUUGUUGGGAAAGAAAAGCAGCAGAUUAAUACCCCGCUGGUCUGACGGUACCCAAAGAAUAAGCACCGGCUAACUUCGUG